GACGAACGCUGGCGGCGUGCUUAACACAUGCAAGUCGAGCGGAAAGGCCACUUCGGUGGUACUCGAGCGGCGAACGGGUGAGUAACACGUGAGUAAUCUGCCCCUGGCUUUGGGAUAGCCACCGGAAACGGUGAUUAAUACCGGAUACGACCACUUCUCGCAUGGGCUGGUGGUGGAAAGUUUCUUCGGCCAGGGAUGUGCUCGCGGCCUAUCAGCUGGAUGGUGAGGUAAUGGCUCACAAUGGCUUCGACGGGUAGCCGGCCUGAGAGGGUGACCGGUCACACUGGGACUGAGACACGGCCCAGACUCCUACGGGAGGCAGCAGUGGGGAAUAUUGGACAAUGGGCGGAAGCCUGAUCCAACGACGCCGCGUGAGGGAUGACGGCCUUCGGGUUGUAAACCUCUUUCAGCACCGACGAAGCGCAAGUGACGGUAGGUGCAGAAGAAGGACCGGCCAACUACGUGCCAGCCGCCGCCGUAA
rnacentral:rRNA from 1 species